AAGCCCCUUCCCAACUCCGACAUAUCCACCCUCCAGGAGCCCGGGUCGACCGCCCCCGCGGGCAGGGUGCGCGGACUAGGCAGGGAGACCCGCGGCUGCGGGGGCGCAGAGUGGUCAGCGGGGAUAGGCGGAGGCAGCGCCUGCGAGGCCUAGGGGGGGGUCGCCGGCGGCGCCUCCAGCGCCCGGAGACCUGGCAUCGGCCGCCCUCCUUCCCGCGUGCCCGCCAGCGCCCGUGCCUGCUCAGCCAGUGACUUCAGUUCGGCUCCACCCCCGCGCGGCUGCGGCUCGCUCCUUCCAGACUCGCGCUCGGCACAAACCCAGCCCCAGCGAGCGGCCGCCAGCUGCCCGGCGCCACCUCCACCCGCCCCCACCGCGGCCCAACUUGGAGGGAAUUGGGGUCCUGAGCGCCUGCCCCCCACAGCCGCCAGCGCAGAGCCACGCGCUGCCACCUUCGGUCUGGGACCCCUCUCUGCUGUUCUCCGCCCCCGCGGUGGGAAAAGUGGGCGCCGGCGGCUGCUUCCCAGCCCUGCUGAACCGAAAGUUCUGGGUUUCAGCGGGAGAUGGGGGCGCGCCACCGCGACCAGGUGCAGGAGAGGAGGCCACUUCGCACAGAAUCAGCAACUGUCCAAUGGUCUGGCCCGCACAGCAGGAGUUGUGAGGUUCCCACGUGGCUGGGUACAAGGGGAACGUUCCAAAGCCCGUUGAUUGAACAGGAGAAUCUGGAACCAGGAGUGAGCAGAGCUGGCCCCAGGCCUUGGUGGCUGUGUACUAGUUCUGUGACCUGCAAUCAGUCACUUAACUUCUGUGAGCUCCUCUCUUUCCGUCUGUAAAAAAGGAAUAUGUACUACCCACUUCCUGAGUAGAUGUUGAAGAUGUUGUAAAAGGUUCGAGUCAACCAAUUAAAAGCAAUAGAUCACAUGAAGAUGAGUAUAUCUUCUGUUUGUUGGGACAUAAUCCAGAGAGGAUCUUUCUCCCCAGAUAUUAUGGGAUGGCCACAUUUUACAGCUGAGAGUGACUUUUGGCCAGAAGCCAACCUCAUCUGCUUGUGACAAAGCCUCCCUAGCAUGGCCGCCUACUUCCUCAAAGCCAGCCAGUGAGAACACCUGAUACUAUGAUGGACAGUUAAUCCUUUAUAAUGCAUGUAAGAAUACAUACCUAUGUAUUCCCUGUCAUGUUUGUCACAUUCUAUUAGGUAGAAUCAAGUUAACAGGUCUUGACUACACUUAAGAGAAUUACACAGGUGUGUGAAUUACUGAGAUGUAAGGAUCAUGGAG
rnacentral:lncRNA from 10 species